CUGGCGGCUUGAAGUCAUUAAUUUAUAUUCGGAAUUGUUUUCUGUCACCCAGUUCUUUCGCGUAGAAAAACGUCACUUUCAAAAUGACGGAAGGAACCGCUACAAUUCGUACCAGAAAAUUCAUGACCAACAGGUUGUUGUGUCGAAAGCAAAUGGUUGUGGAUGUUUUACAUCCAGGUCAGCCCUCCGUUAAAAAAACGGAUAUUAGAGAAAAACUAGCCAAAAUGUACAAGGUGACUCCUGAUGUUAUCUUUGUUUUUGGAUUCCGCACCAACUUUGGAGGCGGUAAAUCCACAGGGUUUGGUCUGAUUUAUGAUACAUUAGACUUUGCCAAGAAAUUUGAACCCAAGCACAGGUUACAAAGGCACGGGCUUUAUGAAAAAGUCAAACAGACCCGAAAACAGCGUAAGGAAAAGAAGAACAGGAUGAAGAAAGUGCGAGGCACAAAGAAGACCAAGGUCGGAGCUGCUGCCAAGAAGGUAAGUCAUUACAGUUAGAAAUUACAUUUCCAAAACUCAGCCGCAAAUCGGACUUUGAUCACACAUUGUGUUUUUAGGGAGGAAAAUAGAGUACUCAUAAGUAAUUGGUUACCUAAAUGCUGGCACUACUGUUUUUCACUCAUUUGUCUGGACCUUACCAUCAUCUGGACCAUCAGAUCAGUAGUCUCUAAGUGCUAUUGGAGUUCAAAUGUAAUUUUUGGAAUAAGGAGUGUCGGUUUUUAAGUAAUAUAUUUUAAGGUA
rnacentral:misc_RNA from 1 species